rnacentral:lncRNA from 1 species
UUGAGAUCAACAAAUUUGGAAAAACAUUCUUUAGUGGGACACAUAUGGAAAGUGCAGCCAGAACCAAGAAUCCAUUCUUCUGAGUCUCUUUUGGUUGUACUAACAAGGACAACACCUUGAAUAUCAGGAUCAUUUUUGCAAGCAAUAGUUGAAGAGCCAGCAGAAUUGUUUAUUUCUUUCAUUUCAGAUAUUUUCUCAAAACAAUCUUUUAUAAAGUGUCCCGUUUUUCCACAAUAACAACAUUACCUG